rnacentral:rRNA from 1 species
AGUCGAACGGCAGCACGGACUUCGGUCUGGUGGCGAGUGGCGAACGGGUGAGUAAUGUAUCGGAACGUGCCUAGUAGCGGGGGAUAACUACGCGAAACAGAAGCUAAUACCGCAUACGCCCUUCGGGGGAAAGCGGGGGACCUUUCGGGCCUCGCACUAUUAGAGCGGCCGAUAUCGGAUUAGCUAGUUGGUGGGGUAACGGCUCACUAUAGCGACGAUCCGUAGCUGGUUUGAGAGGACGACCAGCCACACUGGGACUGAGACACGGCCCAGACUACUGGAGGCGCAGUGGGGAAUUUUGGACAAUGGGGGAAACCCUGAUCCAGCCAUCCCGCGUGUGCGAUGAAGGCCUUCGGGUUGUAAAGCACUUUGGCAGGAAAGAAACGGCACGGGGAUAAUACCCCGUGCAACUGACGGUACCUGCAGAAUAAGCACCGGCUAACUACGUGCCAGCAGCCGCGGUAAUGGGUGCAAGCGUUAAUCGGAAUUACUGGGCGUAAAGCGUGCGCAGGCGGUUCGGAAAGAAAGAUGUGAAAUCCCAGAGCUUAACUUUGGAACUGCAUUUUUAACUACCGAGCUAGAGUGUGUCAGAGGGAGGUGGAAUUCCGCGUGUAGCAGUGAAAUGCGUAGAUAUGCGGAGGAACACCGAUGGCGAAGGCAGCCUCCUGGGAUAACACUGACGCUCAUGCACGAAAGCGUGGGGAGCAAACAGGAUUAGAUACCUGUAGUCCACGCCCCAAACGAUGUCAACUAGCUGUUGGGACCUUCGGAUCCUUAGUAGCGCAGCUAACGCGUGAAGUUGACCAGCCUGGGAGUACGGUCGCAAGAUAAAACCUCAAAGGAAUUGACGGGGACCUGCACAAGCGGUGGAUGAUGUGGAUUAAUUCGAUGCAACGCUGAAAAACCUUACCUACCCUUGAUAUGUCUGGAAUCCCGAAGAGAUUUGGGAGUGCUCGCAAGAGAACCGGAACACAGGGUGCUGCAUGGCUGUCGUCAGCUCGUGUCGUGAGAUGUUGGGUUAAGUCCGCAACGAGCGUGCAACCCUUGUCAUUAGUUGCUACGAAAGGGCACUCUAAUGACUGCCGGUGACAAACCGGAGGAAGGUGGGGAUGACGUCAAGUCCUCAUGGCCCUUAUGGGUAGGGCUUCACACGUCAUACAAUGGUCGCGGGACAGUGGGUCGCCAACCCGCGAGGGGGAGCCAAUCCUGUGAAACCCGAUCGUAGUCCGACUGGGUCUGCAACUCGACUGCGUAAGCCGGAAUCGCUAGUAAUCGCGGAUCAGCAUGUCGCGGUGAAUACGUUCUGGGUCUUGUACACACCGCCCGUCACACCAUGGGAGUGGGUUUUACCAGAAGUAGUUAGCCUAACCGUAAGGAGGGCGAUUACCACGGUAGGAUUCAUGACUGGGGUGAAGUCGUAACAAGGUAG